UAAGGAAUAUUGGUCAAUGGACGCAAGUCUGAACCAGCCAUGCCGCGUGAAGGAUGAAGGUCCUCUGGAUUGUAAACUUCUUUUAUCUGGGACGAAAACGGGAUUUUUAUCUCAAUUGACGGUACCAGAGGAAUAAGCACCGGCUAACUCCGUGCCAGCAGCCGCGGUAAUACGGAGGGUGCGAGCGUUAUCCGGAUUUACUGGGUUUAAAGGGUGCGUAGGUGGGCUUAUAAGUCAGUGGUGAAAUCUCCGAGCUUAACUUGGAAACUGCCGUUGAUACUAUAGGUCUUGAAUUAUCUGGAGGUAAGCGGAAUAUGUCAUGUAGCGGUGAAAUGCUUAGAUAUGACAUAGAACGCCAAUUGCGAAGGCAGCUUACUACAUAUAAAUUGACGCUGAGGCACGAAAGCGUGGGGAUCAAACA
rnacentral:rRNA from 1 species